UACGAAGGGGGCUAGCGUUGCUCGGAAUCACUGGGCGUAAAGGGUGCGUAGGCGGGUCUUUAAGUCAGGGGUGAAAUCCUGGAGCUCAACUCCAGAACUGCCUUUGAUACUGAGGAUCUUGAGUUCGGGAGAGGUGAGUGGAACUGCGAGUGUAGAGGUGAAAAUUCGUAGAUAUUCGCAAGAACACCAGUGGCGAAGGCGGCUCACUGGCCCGGUACUGACGCUGAGGUGCGAAAGCGUGGGGAGCAACAGGG
rnacentral:rRNA from 1 species